rnacentral:lncRNA from 1 species
CGAGUUUCAAUAAUAGGUGGGGUGCAGGUUUGGGGAAGGGACAUAAAGCUCGAGGGUGGGGUGGGGGUCUGAGUAAGGUGAAGCGUGAGGAAUGAGGGGCCUGAGACAAGGGCUGACAGGUGGGACGCAGGCCUUAGGGCGUGGCAAAUGGCUAGGGGCGGGGCCAAGAGUGGGGCUGUCCUGUGCCUGAGUCUGGAACUUGGCCAGAGUGGCCAAGCUUCUGCAAGCCUGCACCUUCAGGGAGCCAAGGAAGAUGCUUUACGUGGAACACUGAAAGCUAAGUCUGCACUUUUAAGGAUGCCUGUGGCUGCUGUGAAGGCUGGGAUGGGCCAGCAGGGAUGGCCCGUAGGUCCUGUGAGCAGUAAUGAGUUCGCCUUUCCUGUUCCCUCCAUCUAAAUACAGCUCAAUACCCCACAAGCAACACCCAGUAGGAAGAGGACUUGAGAGUUGAAAAUAACUACACUGGCCUGGAACUCAAAACUUGGGCUAUGUUUCCUUUUUCUUUGAUUUCUGAGCCAGGGCCCCAGAGAGGCCAACACGAUGGCCAAGAGAUACAGGGCAGGUCUUCUGGGAAUCCCCUCUCUCUGGCCGGUGGCAGGAGAGACCUAGAACAAUGCCCGGCAGAGACUUUAACCAGUGUUCCAGUCCACAGUCUGUCCCCAGUGUCAGUGUCAGAGCACCUGUAGGCUCACCUGACCCUGCCUGCACAUGGGGGUGCCAGCGGGGACCACAUAGGUAGUGUUGUGAAGUUGCCUGUCAGCAAGAGACCCACAUCCUCAGUAGGAUGGACCCCAGAGAUGCCUUCAUAACCCUGUAGAUGACACCAGCAGGGACCGAGGAGCCCCACCAGUGCCAGAAAAUCAAACAGACCAGGAGAGCAAAGUGGGGAUGCCAGAGACAAAGCCAGCAUUGGAGCAAGAGGCCACAGCGGCAGGCCAGAUUGCACAUGUGACAUACAGCCACACACUGGCACUAGCAGCUAGCUGCCUGCUAACGUAGAAGAACCAGGAGUCUCCAAACAGAGUAACCCAAAUGUCCAGCGUACAUUUGAAAAAACCGCUUAUCAUUCCAAGAACAUUCGCAAUGUGAAUGCAAAAAGGCUGCUCACUGAAAUGGAUGCCAAAAUGAGCCAUCUGCCAAGGACUUGUCGACAACCAUGAAAAUCGCUUUCAGAAGCAAUUAGAAGAAAAAGUGAUUACAAACUCAUUUAAAAUUAAAAAAAAAAUUUAGCAAAGAACAAGAAAUUGUAAAGCGCCAAGUUGAAAUUAUAGAAUCUGAGAAAACAAGCAGAACAACACUGCCCAUCAUUGGAAGGGCACAGUGGUAGACGAGACGACGGAGUGCUAGAACUUUCUUGGAACUGAAGAAUAAAGAAAAUAGUACAAAGUGUGAGCCUAAGCCA